rnacentral:misc_RNA from 1 species
CAAAAGGCAAAAACAACGUCGAUGCAGGUGACCCAUUUUUUCAGUUAAAAGACUUUUUUGGUUAGUCAAAAGGCAAAAUUUACCCCUUUUUUUUCUAGUCACAAAAUGGCCCAAAUUUUACAUUGUUCAAUGAACAGUGCCAAUUUUGCCACCAACUUUAUUAGUUUUCAUAUGUCUACUUUCAGGAACAUCAAAAGCAUAACAAAAUUAAUAUUCUGCGUGUCUUGUCCUCUCCGCCCUAAAUCUCUCUCAUACUGAUUUUUUCUAAUUUUUUAUUUUUUUUUGCCCCUAUGUAAUUACAGUAUACAAUUAAUGUAUUAUCCAUGUAAGCAGCAACUCCAGAUGAGUAUCCCUAAAAAGAAAAGUUAAUUUAGAAAAAAUGUUCCUCCGAGCAAUACUUCAAUAGAACAACUUACAUAAUAUCAUACUUUUGGGGGCUCCAACAAGCUCAAUAUCCUCAAAUUGCCAUGGAGGUUGCUGAGAUCUCAGCAAUCUGAGUUUAUAGCACGCAAUUCUGUUUAUAUGUACAACUAAACAAAAAUUAAGUGUCACCAAUAAUCUGCACAAGAACAAUACCCUUCUUGAAAAUGAUGGAAACCAUUGGUAUCUCUAACAAUGAUCAUCCUAUUUGCAGCCUUUGAAAUAAGUUUCACAGCCAAGUGGUAAUCGUCACACAUUCUGAGGUUCUUUACUACAAUGAUAGGUGCUUCUGGAGGUGUUUUCAUAAGACCAUAUGCUAUGGCCAAUUUCUCGCUGUGAUAACUAAGAUAAUGAUCCUUCUGCUCAUCCUCUACAUCAUGCAGUACUGCACCAAUAUCCGGAACAUAGCCAAGUGGUUUAAUCAUAGUCAAUAGUUCCUUUACCCUUUCAUAAAUCUCAUUGUGCUCUGGAUGUUUAGUGUCUUCUGAAACAAAAAUAUGGGUGAAGUUUCUUAUCUCUAUCCAGCUUACCCCAGGUUCUUUCUUGAUGUUGUUGUCCCUCAUCAACUUCCGAAUUUUGAAAACCCCAUCCCACCUCUUUGCCUUGGCAUACAUAUUAGAUAAAAGUGUAUAAGUACCCACAUCAUUUGGAUCCAUCUCCAAGACCCAUUCUGCAAUCUGCUUUCCUAAACCAUAGUUUCGAUGGAUAUGGCAAGCAUUAAGUAAAGUACGCCAGGCAACAACAUCCCAUUUUACAGGCAUAGACCUCACAAAUUUCUAAGCAUCAUCAAGUCUUCCAGCCUUGCCCAGAAGACCAACAAUACAAGCAUAAUGCUCCAAACCAGGCACAAUACUACUUUCUUUCAUUAGGUUCAGAUAAUAGAAACCUUCCUGUACCAAACCUAGAUGACUGCAAGCAGAGAGAACCCCUAUGAAAGUCACAUAGUUAGGAUAUUCUUGUGCAGCUAACAUUUCUUGAAAAACAUGAAGAGCUUCCUUACCUAGUCCAUGAUGCAAGUAGCCACAUAUCAUUGCAUUCCAAGUAAUAGUGUCUCGAAGCGUCAUGUCUGAAAAUACUUUUGUUGCUGUGUUGCUGCUUGUAUAUCACCACCCUUUGCAUACAUAUUGAUCAAAGCAUUUCCAACAGUAACAUAAUCUUUAAAACCUGAUUUCUCAAUACAUGCAUGUAACAAAUGCCCAUAUCUUAUUGCAGACAACCCUGUACUAGCAUUCAGUAUGACAGCAAAAGUAAACUCAUUUGGUGUUGCAUCAUCAAUUUUCAUUUUUGAAAAUAAAUUCAAUGCUUCCUCAAAGCACCCAUUUUGGAAAUAAGCAGCAAUAAUCGCUGUCCACAACACCACAUUUUGACUUUGCAACCCAUCAAAAACUCUUCUAGCAUUUAAAGCUUCCCUGCAUUUCCCAUACAUAUUAAUCAUAGCACUGCUAACACAUGCAUCACAUUCAACAUCACUCGUCAACAUCUUACCAUGCACUUGCAAACCUAAUCUCAAAUCUUUUAGAUAGGCACAAAGCCCAAAAACAUUAACAUAAGUGACAAUAUCCCACUUCACACGAUAACUGACCAUCCUCCUCAAAACCUCUAAACCUUCCUUGAGAUAAUAAUUUUCCAGAACUCCACUCAAAACUGAAUUAUAAGCAAAAAUAUCAUUUCCAUGCACUAAAUUCCAGAUCCACAUAACCUCUUGAAAACUGAAAAACUUUGAAUGCAAAAGAGCAUUCCUUACAUAUUGAUGAAACACCAAACCAGACUUCAACACAUAGCAAUGACAUUGUUCACCUUCCUCGACUCUUCCGCUGUCAGAACAAGAAGCCAGAGCAAUAGCAAAAACAUACUCAUUUGGGCUUAUAGCAUCACCCAAAACCAUAUCUUUCAACAACCUAAUAACUUCUAAUGAAAACCCAAUAUGUAAAUACCCAGUCAUCAAAGCGCUCCAAGACACUACAUUUCCUUGACCCAUGCGAUCGAAUUACGAGCAAUAAAAAGUUCAUUGUAUUUUGCAUAAAAAUUGAUCAAGGAAUUUGUCUCCACUACAUUGCUUUUGGUAGUUUGAUUCGUGAUGAUUAAAUGGGCAUGGAUUAGUUUACCAAAUUUGAGGUUUUUAGCAUCAGCCAAUAGUUUUAAGAUCAUGAUAGGGUCUAGAGGAGGAGAAGUAGAGGGUGACUGGUUUGGCUUGAAAAGAUACGGCAUGUAGCUGAGGGGCGCAUGGGCCUUUCUUGGUGGCUUUAGCAUCUGCCUUCUUUAGGUUUAGCCCAAUUUUG